rnacentral:rRNA from 1 species
AUUGAACGCUGGCGGAAUGCUUUACACAUGCAAGUCGAACGGCAGCACGGGAGCUUGCUCCUGGUGGCGAGUGGCGAACGGGUGAGUAAUGUAUCGGAACGUACCCGUCGUGGGGGAUAACUCUCCGAAAGGAGUGCUAAUACCGCAUACGACCUGAGGGUGAAAGCGGGGGACCUGCAAGGGCCUCGCGCGAUGGGAGCGGCCGAUAUCGGAUUAGCUAGUUGGUGAGGUAAAGGCUCACCAAGGCGACGAUCCGUAGCGGGUCUGAGAGGACGACCCGCCACACUGGAACUGAGACACGGUCCAGACUCCUACGGGAGGCAGCAGUGGGGAAUUUUGGACAAUGGGGGAAACCCUGAUCCAGCCAUUCCGCGUGAGUGAAGAAGGCC